AUGAAGCAUCUGGCAUCACAUUGGUCCAAGAGUGAGGAUACUGUGAUGACAAAUGCUGGGGUGACAGCAUUGGUUCCACUGUUACAGAGACAUCCAGAUGGAGCUUGUCCUCACAGACAGACACCUGGUAAGUUACCAAGGGUCUUCUUUAUGUCCAUCCGAAGCUGGAAAGAAUCAAUUCCAUGUCCUCUAGCCUUCCCUGUGCUCAGCUCUGAAGAUAGCAAGCAGCUGUCUGGGCAGCCAUUCCUUGGGAUCUGUCCCCUGUUCAGCAUGGCUUUGAUGCCAGAAGACCAGACCUAGCCAAACAUAUGGACCUACAGCCUAGUAAAGCCCACAGCUGGGCCAUUGGCUGACUUUUCCUCUGUUCCUUGGAAUAUUCUGGCAAUUCUAAAAUAGUUUCAGCAACUUAUAGACAUUUUCCCAGGAUAUUCUGGUCUCUAAGGGAACAAUCUGCUCUUUUCUCACACUUUUAAAUCCCUUUUCUUGGAAGACCAGUUCUUGUGUAAGUGUACACACACACACACACACACACACACACACACACACACACACACACUUAAUUUGGCCCUGGAUAUGAUUA
rnacentral:lncRNA from 1 species